rnacentral:rRNA from 1 species
CUACCCUUGACAUGCCAGGAACUGGUGAGAGAUCACCGGGUGCCUUCGGGAGCCUGGACACAGGUGCUGCAUGGCUGUCGUCAGCUCGUGUCGUGAGAUGUUGGGUUAAGUCCCGCAACGAGCGCAACCCUUGCCACUAAUUGCCAUCAUUGAGUUGGGCACUUUAGUGGGACUGCCGGUGACAAACCGGAGGAAGGUGGGGAUGACGUCAAGUCCUCAUGGCCCUUAUGGGUAGGGCUUCACACGUCAUACAAUGGUCGGUACAGAGGGUUGCCAAGCCGCGAGGUGGAGCCAAUCCCAGAAAGCCGAUCGUAGUCCGGAUCGCAGUCUGCAACUCGACUGCGUGAAGUCGGAAUCGCUAGUAAUCGCGGAUCAGCAUGUCGCGGUGAAUACGUUCCC